AGAGUUUGAUUAUGGCUCAGGAUGAACGCUAGCUACAGGCUUAACACAUGCAAGUCGAGGGGCAGCAUUGGGGUAGCAAUACUCAGAUGGCGACCGGCGCACGGGUGAGUAACACGUAUCCAACCUGCCGCUUACUCGGGGAUAGCCUUUCGAAAGAAAGAUUAAUACCCGAUGGUAUAAAGAGUUCGCAUGUUCUCUUUAUUAAAGAAUUUCGGUAAGCGAUGGGGAUGCGUUCCAUUAGAUAGUUGGCGGGGUAACGGCCCACCAAGUCUACGAUGGAUAGGGGUUCUGAGAGGAAGGUCCCCCACAUUGGAACUGAGACACGGUCCAAACUCCUACGGGAGGCAGCAGUGAGGAAUAUUGGUCAAUGGACGAGAGUCUGAACCAGCCAAGUAGCGUGAAGGAUGACUGCCCUAUGGGUUGUAAACUUCUUUUAUAAGGGAAUAAAGUGAGGGACGUGUCCCUUUUUGUAUGUACCUUAUGAAUAAGGAUCGGCUAACUCCGUGCCAGCAGCAGC
rnacentral:rRNA from 1 species